GUGAAUCAUCGAAUCUUUGAACGCAAAUUGCACUCUCUGGUAUUCCGGAGAGUAUGCCUGUUUGAGGGUCAGUUUAAAUAAAAAUCGGUGUUGUUGCUGCCUUUCGUGGUGACGCACCGGAUUGGGGUCUUCUUUCCUUCGGUUAAGUUACCUAAAUUUUUGCAUGAUUUUUUUCGAACUUAUUUAAGUGUUUUUACGUACGUUUUCUAUAUAGAAUACUAGGUGUGGUCAUCCUCAUGAUUCGCGCCUAUAAUUUUUUAUCAAGAUGUCCUCAAAUCAGGUAAGAGUACCCGCUGAACUU
rnacentral:misc_RNA from 1 species